GGGUCUGGCUGCAGCCACUGGGGAGCGCCAUAUUGGGACCUCCACACUAACCGGAAACACGUGACCUCCACAGUAGCCGGAAACACGUGACCUCCACAGUAACCGGAAACACGUGACCUCCACAAUCGGCAGAAAUACGUUCCUGCGUGCAUCAUCGACUGUGGAAACCUUGCAAGUGGAUCGUAAAGAUGCACAUAUCAAUUUGGAAUUCUGCCUCCAAGCCAGAAUUGCAGGAAUGCACCACGUGUUGCAGAAGACUCUUUCACUGCCCUCUGUGCCCCACUUUCAGCCCUACUGUCAGGGCAAAGAUUGAGGAGCAAAUAAAUGGACACAUUAAAAAUGCUUUGCCUUUCAAAGACAAAAUGAUAUGCCGGUGCACUUUCACUGCCCUGUCUAUAACAUGACAAUCAUACAGCGUGGGGAUAUGGCAAGGCAAAUAUUGUCAUGUCAGCGUUUAGGACUGCUCCCCACUGAACUCUCCGUGGAGCCCCGCCUCUCUCCCGCUGCACUCUCUGUGGAGCCACAUCUCCCUCUCCAUGUCUCCAGCAUCUAAACCGUUUUCUGAAUCUUUGGUAGAACAUUCAUGUGUUCUACCCUCUGUGCUAAAUGAAACUGUGGCUUGUGGAAAGUCCAUGGAAAUGAAACGCCCUCACUGUGGUCUUAGUCUUCUUACAAAAAAAACUUCAAGGCUCACAUGAUGAGGAGGCAUUCAAACAGAUCAAUAGAUGUUUGCCUGGCCUGUCAUCUGCAGUGUUUUUGUGUAGAGGGACUUCUUCCUCUUUGUUUUUCAGUUUGCAGAGGACAUGGAGCUCUUUUUAAAAGCAUGUGCUGCUGACGAGCAGGGACUAUGGGUCAAUGCGAUGUUUGACAUUUAAUGGACAGAUGAAGGCACUGUCUGUUUGUUUGUGUUUUUUAUGUGUUGUUUGUUUUUCAGUGUACAGAAUUCCAGUUAACCUUAUUAUAAAAUGUUGUUCAUUUGUUUCCAUGUCCAUACUAAUAGUAAAAAAUUUAAGUGUAAAUGUAACAGCAUGGUUUAUACUUGUAACUUCAAAGUAAAAAGCUUAUUGUUGAUAUUAACAUUAAUGUAUUACCCCGUAAUUAAUAAUAUUUUUAUACAUUUUACGCAUUAACCCUCUGGGCUCUAUCCUGUCCAUUUGUGGCCACUUCACUUCUUCUUUUUUGACUACUACACUGCAGUGGACCAAAAGAAUGACACAGGUUUGAUCUUAAGGAUCUAAUAGUUGUGUGUUUGUGCAUGACAUUGCAACGCAAAUAUGUAUUUGCAAGAUAGACUGGGAAUAAAUUAUGACGCAUCAAAUAUUA